AGUGAACGCUGGCGGUAGGCCUAACACAUGCAAGUCGAACGGCAGCACAGUAAGAGCUUGCUCUUACGGGUGGCGAGUGGCGGACGGGCGAGGAAUACAUCGGAAUCUACUUUUUCGUGGGGGAUAACGUAGGGAAACUUACGCUAAUACCGCAUACGACCUACGGGUGAAAGCAGGGGAACUUCGGACCUUGCGCGAUUGAAUGAGCCGAUGUCGGAUUAGCUAGUUGGCGGGGUAAAGGCCCACCAAGGCGACGAUCCGUAGCUGGUCUGAGAGGAUGAUCAGCCACACUGGAACUGAGACACGGUCCAGACUCCUACGGGAGGCAGCAGUGGGGAAUAUUGGACAAUGGGCGCAAGCCUGAUCCAGCCAUACCGCGUGGGUGAAGAAGGCCUUCGGGUUGUAAAGCCCUUUUGUUGGGAAAGAAAAGCAGCAGGUUAAUACCCCGCUGUUCUGACGGUACCCAAAGAAUAAGCACCGGCUAACUUCGUG
rnacentral:rRNA from 1 species